rnacentral:rRNA from 1 species
GGGUAACCUGCCUGUAAGACUGGGAUAACUCCGGGAAACCGGGGCUAAUACCGGAUGCUUGUUUGAACCGCAUGGUUCAAACAUAAAAGGUGGCUUCGGCUACCACUUACAGAUGGACCCGCGGCGCAUUAGCUAGUUGGUGAGGUAAUGGCUCACCAAGGCGACGAUGCGUAGCCGACCUGAGAGGGUGAUCGGCCACACUGGGACUGAGACACGGCCCAGACUCCUACGGGAGGCAGCAGUAGGGAAUCUUCCGCAAUGGACGAAAGUCUGACGGAGCAACGCCGCGUGAGUGAUGAAGGUUUUCGGAUCGUAAAGCUCUGUUGUUAGGGAAGAACAAGUACCGUUCGAAUAGGGCGGUACCUUGACGGUACCUAACCAGAAAGCCACGGCUAACUACGUGCCAGCAGCCGCGGUAAUACGUAGGUGGCAAGCGUUGUCCGGAAUUAUUGGGCGUAAAGGGCUCGCAGGCGGUUUCUUAAGUCUGAUGUGAAAGCCCCCGGCUCAACCGGGGAGGGUCAUUGGAAACUGGGGGAACUUGAGUGCAGAAGAGGAGAGUGGAAAUUCCACGUGUAGCGGUGAAAUGCGUAGAGAUGUGGAGGAACACCAGUGGCGAAGGCGACUCUCUGGUCUGUAACUGACGCUGAGGAGCGAAAGCGUGGGGAGCGAACAGGAUUAGAUACCCUGGUAGUCCACGCCGUAAACGAUGAGUGCUAAGUGUUAGGGGGUUUCCGCCCCUUAGUGCUGCAGCUAACGCAUUAAGCACUCCGCCUGGGGAGUACGGUCGCAAGACUGAAACUCAAAGGAAUUGACGGGGGCCCGCACAAGCGGUGGAGCAUGUGGUUUAAUUCGAAGCAACGCGAAGAACCUUACCAGGUCUUGACAUCCUCUGACAAUCCUAGAGAUAGGACGUCCCCUUCGGGGGCAGAGUGACAGGUGGUGCAUGGUUGUCGUCAGCUCGUGUCGUGAGAUGUUGGGUUAAGUCCCGCAACGAGCGCAACCCUUGAUCUUAGUUGCCAGCAUUCAGUUGGGCACUCUAAGGUGACUGCCGGUGACAAACCGGAGGAAGGUGGGGAUGACGUCAAAUCAUCAUGCCCCUUAUGACCUGGGCUACACACGUGCUACAAUGGACAGAAC